GAAAGCCUGAUCCAGCCAUGCCGCAUGAGUGAAGAAGGCCUUUGGGUUGUAAAGCUCUUUUAGUGAGGAAGAUAAUGACGGUACUCACAGAAGAAGUCCUGGCUAACUCCGUGCCAGCAGCCGCGGUAAUACGGAGAGGGCUAGCGUUAUUCGGAAUUAUUGGGCGUAAAGGGCGCGUAGGCGGAUUAGUAAGUUAAAAGUGAAAUCCCAAGGCUCAACCUUGGAAUUGCUUUUAAAACUGCUAAUCUAGAGAUUGAAAGAGGAUAGAGGAAUUCCUAGUGUAGAGGUGAAAUUCGUAAAUAUUAGGAGGAACACCAGUGGCGAAGGCGUCUAUCUGGUUCAAAUCUGACGCUGAGGCGCGAAGGCGUGGGGAGCAAACAGGAUUAGAUACCCUGGUAGUCCACGCUGUAAACGAUGAAUGUUAAAUAUGGGAAGUUUUACUUUCUGUAUUACAGCUAACGCGUUAAACAUUCCGCCUGGGGACUACGGUCGCAAGAUUAAAACUCAAAGGAAUUGACGGGGACCCGCACAAGCGGUGGAGCAUGUGGUUUAAUUCGAUGCAACGCGAAAAACCUUACCACUCCUUGACAUGGAAAUUAUACCUAUUCGAAGGGAUAGGGUCGGUUCGGCCGGGUUUCACACAGGUGUUGCAUGGCUGUCGUCAGCUCGU
rnacentral:rRNA from 1 species